AAGAUGUCAUUUGACUGGAGGAGAGGAUGCCUGUGAGACAAGGUGUAAGAUCAUAUGAGGUGAUAUAGCUAAGUCAUAUAAAAGACUCCAGGGUCUUUGGACAACUCACUCGACUGGCUCUUCUUCUUUCCUUAGCUAUGAAGAAAAAGGGUUUGCUGAGAGGAGGAGAAGGUGACUGUGUAUAAGCGACAGCCCCACAAGGAUGCUGUGAGAGACUCUGCUGGAGGCUCCACUCCGUUGUGGGACAUGGAAGUUUCCAUGGGAAGUACCCAUCUCGCCCUGCCCACUUGGUUUCACACUGUAUACUGUGCUGAAGACAGUGCUGGCAUUUCAGCUUGAACACUAAGCGGUGACUCAGAGCCAACAGAAGUGUGGACCGCUGUUUACUCAAAAGGAAGCCUUUGGUGUGACAAAUUAGAGUGGGCUGCUACAUUGUGCAGGACUCAUGAGCCAAACAGCUUGAAAAUAGCACAUACCACUGCGGCAGGUGUCAAAGGGCUUCCCCUCAGAAGAACCAGAGGUCCGUCUUUCAUCUGGAACUGGCUAGGAAAGAGGCUGGCAAGUCACCAAAUCCAUCAUCCUAUCUACCAAGAGUCACAGCGCUAACAAUCAACGAAACUGGGGCUGACACCUCACCCACUCCCACAGCUGGGAGUGGGGUAGCUCUCACUGUUACAGGUAAGGGAACUGAAGUUUAUCAAAACAAAGGUCUUUGGUAAUUUCUAAGCCUGGCUACUUGUGAUAAUCAUCUGGAGAGUUGAAAUUGAG
rnacentral:lncRNA from 1 species